CUUACUGUGUUUCGCUGUCGCUAGAGGCUAGUUCGUGUUAGUGAUGGGCUAAACUGCGAUUUUUCGAAAUAAGUGAUUUCUGUGAAUGAUACUUUUGAGUAUCUGCUAUUCUUAAUUAUGAUUUGUCGCAGUUUUAGACAACCCAUGUCGUGUAUCCCUCCGCACACUACCACUGCGAUUUCUGCUACUUCUGCUGUUCUGCGAAUUCUCACUGCAUGAAAAAGUUACAUCUGUCCACACAGAAAAUUGCAUCUCAAAAAAACUGUCAUUAGUAUAUUUCAGUCGCCCAGUAAAGUUAUAACUCAAAAUAUCAUUGUCAACAGAUGUGGAGAAUUUGCCACUGCGUCUUUAGACUGUCUUCGCCAGAUGAGAGACGCAGUUUCGACUGAUUACUGGUUGCUGUACUUAUCUAAACACAGCAAAGUUCUUGAGAGAGAAUCGUGAAGAUUCAAGACAGCUCUUAGAAGAUUUGCAGUGUGUUUUAUUGAAAUUGUGCGAUUUUAAAG